AAGAAAGCCAUUAAAUCCAACUUCCUCAGCUUACGGAUAAAAUGAGUAUCAGAGAAUUUAAGUGAUUUACCCAAGGUCACACAGCUGGCUGAAGAGGAAGACAUAUAAUACAUGCAAACAGAGUCAUAACUGGGAAUUCUAGGAUGUGGGACAAAUUCAGGGAAUCCUGAAUUGAUCCUGAGCUUCCUAUGGCUCAACAGUUGGGUAGGUGGGAGUAUCCAGUCACUUUCGAAGGUAA